AUUGAACGCUGGCGGCAUGUUUUACACAUGCAAGUCGAACGGUAACAGGCCGCAAGGUGCUGACGAGUGGCGAACGGGUGAGUAAUGCAUCGGAACGUGCCCAGUCGUGGGGGAUAACUACUCGAAAGAGUAGCUAAUACCGCAUACGAUCUAUGGAUGAAAGCGGGGGACCGUAAGGCCUCGCGCGAUUGGAGCGGCCGAUGUCAGAUUAGGUAGUUGGUGGGGUAAAGGCUCACCAAGCCAACGAUCUGUAGCUGGUCUGAGAGGACGACCAGCCACACUGGGACUGAGACACGGCCCAGACUCCUACGGGAGGCAGCAGUGGGGAAUUUUGGACAAUGGGCGCAAGCCUGAUCCAGCAAUGCCGCGUGCAGGAAGAAGGCCUUCGGGUUGUAAACUGCUUUUGUACGGAACGAAACGGCUCUGGUUAAUACCCGGGGCUAAUGACGGUACCGUAAGAAUAAGCACCGGCUAACUACGUG
rnacentral:rRNA from 1 species